rnacentral:rRNA from 1 species
CGGAGGAUCCAAGCGUUAUCCGGAAUCAUUGGGUUUAAAGGGUCCGUAGGCGGGUUUAUAAGUCAGUGGUGAAAGCCCAUCGCUCAACGAUGGAACGGCCAUUGAUACUGUAGAUCUUGAAUUAUUAGGAAGUAACUAGAAUAUGUAGUGUAGCGGUGAAAUGCUUAGAGAUUACAUGGAAUACCAAUUGCGAAGGCAGGUUACUACUAAUGGAUUGACGCUGAUGGACGAAAGCGUGGGUAGCGAACAGGAUUAGAUACCCUGGUAGUCCACGCCGUAAACGAUGGAUACUAGCUGUUGGAAGCAAUUUCAGUGGCUAAGCGAAAGUGAUAAGUAUCCCACCUGGGGAGUACGUUCGCAAGAAUG